CUCUGAUUUCACUUUUUUGUACAUUAAAUCACUUUGGUUGGCAGUUUUGUUGUUUGUGUCUUUUACUUUCGUCCAUCACUUGUAAAAGUACCACACCUUUAAAACGUUAUUACUUUUACCCAAGACUAACAUCCAAGAGUCAAAGAGGUUGUAACAAUGUGUAUUGAGACCUACUCCACAGCGCUCUUGUAGACGUCGAUGGCUUUCUCUGUGUCCCCCUGCAACACGGAGAGAACAGAAACCCAGCUGAAGACGUGUGAAAACAAGAUAAGACGGUUCAAUAAAGUCUCAUAAUCCUUGCGGAUAUAAUGCAGAUGUAUGAGCCAGUUUCUUUUCUCCAGGAUGGGAAGCUCAGGAGCUGCAGAUAAAAUAUAUACUUUAAAAAUAUUAUAUACUUUAUAUAGUAGAUCUAUAUAUGAACAUAUAACAAUGUAGAGUGAUGCACAACAGAGUCUCCUAAAUCAUAUUUGAAGUCUUUAUGAACAUUGUAAAUGAUCCUAA
rnacentral:lncRNA from 1 species